CUAAUACAUGCAAGUAGAACGCUGAAGAGAGGAGCUUGCUCUUCUUGGAUGAGUUGCGAACGGGUGAGUAACGCGUAGGUAACCUGCCUUGUAGCGGGGGAUAACUAUUGGAAACGAUAGCUAAUACCGCAUAACAAUGGAUGACACAUGUCAUUUAUUUGAAAGGGGCAAUUGCUCCACUACAAGAUGGACCUGCGUUGUAUUAGCUAGUAGGUGAGGUAAUGGCUCACCUAGGCGACGAUACAUAGCCGACCUGAGAGGGUGAUCGGCCACACUGGGACUGAGACACGGCCCAGACUCCUACGGGAGGCAGCAGUAGGGAAUCUUCGGCAAUGGGGGCAACCCUGACCGAGCAACGCCGCGUGAGUGAAGAAGGUUUUCGGAUCGUAAAGCUCUGUUGUAAGUCAAGAACGGGUGUGAGAGUGGAAAGUUCACACUGUGACGGUAGCUUACCAGAAAGGGACGGCUAACUACGUGCCAGCAGCCGCGGUAAUACGUAGGUCCCGAGCGUUGUCCGGAUUUAUUGGGCGUAAAGCGAGCGCAGGCGGUUUGAUAAGUCUGAAGUUAAAGGCUGUGGCUCAACCAUAGUUCGCUUUGGAAACUGUCAAACUUGAGUGCAGAAGGGGAGAGUGGAAUUCCAUGUGUAGCGGUGAAAUGCGUAGAUAUAUGGAGGAACACCGGUGGCGAAAGCGGCUCUCUGGUCUGUAACUGACGCUGAGGCUCGAAAGCGUGGGGAGCGAACAGGAUUAGAUACCCUGGUAGUCCACGCCGUAAACGAUGAGUGCUAGGUGUUGGAUCCUUUCCGGGAUUCAGUGCCGCAGCUAACGCAUUAAGCACUCCGCCUGGGGAGUACGACCGCAAGGUUGAAACUCAAAGGAAUUGACGGGGGCCCGCACAAGCGGUGGAGCAUGUGGUUUAAUUCGAAGCAACGCGAAGAACCUUACCAGGUCUUGACAUCCCGAUGCUAUUUCUAGAGAUAGAAAGUUACUUCGGUACAUCGGUGACAGGUGGUGCAUGGUUGUCGUCAGCUCGUGUCGUGAGAUGUUGGGUUAAGUCCCGCAACGAGCGCAACCCCUAUUGUUAGUUGCCAUCAUUCAGUUGGGCACUCUAGCGAGACUGCCGGUAAUAAACCGGAGGAAGGUGGGGAUGACGUCAAAUCAUCAUGCCCCUUAUGACCUGGGCUACACACGUGCUACAAUGGUUGGUACAACGAGUUGCGAGUCGGUGACGGCGAGCUAAUCUCUUAAAGCCAAUCUCAGUUCGGAUUGUAGGCUGCAACUCGCCUACAUGAAGUCGGAAUCGCUAGUAAUCGCGGAUCAGCACGCCGCGGUGAAUACGUUCCCGGGCCUUGUACACACCGCCCGUCACACCACGAGAGUUUGUAACACCCGAAGUCGGUGAGGUAACCUUUUGGAGCCAGCCGCCUAAGGUGGGACAGAUGA
rnacentral:rRNA from 1 species